rnacentral:rRNA from 1 species
GUAGGUGGCAAGCGUUGUCCGGAAUUAUUGGGCGUAAAGCGCGCGCAGGCGGUUCUUUAAGUCUGAUGUGAAAGCCCACGGCUCAACCGUGGAGGGUCAUUGGAAACUGGAGAACUUGAGUACAGAAGAGGAAAGCGGAAUUCCACGUGUAGCGGUGAAAUGCGUAGAGAUGUGGAGGAACACCAGUGGCGAAGGCGGCUUUUCUGGUCUGUAACUGACGCUGAGGCGCGAAAGCGUGGGGAGCAAACAGGGAUUAGAUACCUGGUAGUCCACGCCGUAAACGAUGAGUGCUAAGUGUUAGGGGGUUUCCGCCCCCUUAGUGCUGCAGCUAACGCAUUAAGCACUCCGCCUGGGGAUACGGCCGCAAGGCUG